rnacentral:tRNA from 1 species
GGAGGGGUGCCAGAGUGGUCGAAUGGGACGGUCUCGAAAACCGUUGUGCGGGCAACCGUACCGUGGGUUCGAAUCCCACCCCCUCCG